GAUUGAUAGCUCUUUCUUGAUUCUAUGGGUGGUGGUGCAUGGCCGUUCUUAGUUGGUGGAGUGAUUUGUCUGGUUAAUUCCGAUAACGAACGAGACCUUAACCUGCUAACUAGUCUAAUCCAUUUUAUGGAAUAUGACUUCUUAGAGGGACUAUGUAUUUAAAUACAUGGAAGUUUGAGGCAAUAACAGGUCUGUGAUGCCCUUAUAUGUCCUGGGCUGCACGCGUGCUACACUGAUGCAUACAACAAGUGCCUAGCCCGCCAGGGUAUGGCAAUCUCGAAUAUGCAUCGUGAUGGGGAUAGAUCUUUGCAAUUAUAGAUCUUGAACGAGGAAUUCCUAGUAAGUGCAAGUCAUCAUCUUGCAUUGAUUAUGUCCCUGCCCUUUGUACACACCGCCCGUCGCUCCUACCGAUACCGGGUGAUCCGGUGAACCUUUUGGACCGCUAUGCGGAAAAAUAAGUAAACCAUAUCACCUAGAGGAAGGAGAAGUCGUAACAAG
rnacentral:rRNA from 1 species